rfam:Stegodyphus mimosarum contig73392, whole genome shotgun sequence.
GCCUUCGUGGUGUAAUGGUCAGCACACUGAGCCGGUAUUUCAGAGGUCCGUGGUUUGAUCCCCGGCGAAGGCA